AUUUGGUGUUGAGGACAUCUAGUAAUUAAAGCAUUAAAGCGAUUCCAAUAUUUAAAUAAAGAUUCUCCUGUAUGUUGUGUGAUUUCACAUAUCUCUUUCCCCAUGUU